rnacentral:tRNA from 1 species
GCAGAUGUAGCCAAGUGGAUCAAGGUAGUAGAUUGUGAAUCCACCAUGCGCAGGUUCAAUUCCCGUCGUUCGUC